UAUGCGCUUGCUGCAGCGGAGACGCCUGAUCGUUUUAGCAAAAACGAGGACCGUUACAACCAGCAACGUGUGCUGAAACUAUGGAUAUUGUUAAAUAUCUAUCAUUUCUACGAGUUGGACUGGAAUCAGCUGCGUUUCAGAUGGGAAGGAGCGCGAACACCUCCGGGGGGGUUACUGAGAUGUCGCAGAGCUCAUUUGACAGCAAAGACCUGGAAAGAUCUACUCCAACUAACGUGAAAUCACUUGAUAGAAUUGAGA